GGGGGUAUAGCUCAGCAGGAGAGUGCAUCCUUGGCACGCAUGAGGUCCUGGGUUCAAUCCCCAGUACCUCCA
rnacentral:tRNA from 1 species